CUCUUCUUUUUUUUUAUUGUCCCGGCUUGGCGGUGCAGUGCGCUCCCACCACCGCACGCAAGCACUGUGGAGAGGCGUACGCGUGUCUCUCUAACCUGUCACUUCAUCGCUCACUCUCUCAAGCGCGCAUACUCUUCUUCUUUGCUUUUAUUUGUUGGAUCUGCGCUUGUGCACCCGCCACAUUUUCCGUGGUUGAGUGUGAGUGCCCGUCUGUCUCUGUAUGCCUACACGUAUUGCCGUCCGUGUAGUGACAGCAGCAGCAGUAGCAGCAGCAGGAGGUCCACGAGGACACGCAGCCAUCCACUAUUAUAGAAAGCGGGCCGGAAGAGACGCGUGCAGUGCGAGCUGCAAACUGGUUGAUCUCACUUUCUCAGCACUGCAGAGAAAUCAACGCGAAGCGGCAACCGAGAAGGCAGCGGCAGUCGUGCCUUGCUGCGCAGUACUGUGACGUAUCAGAGGCCGGAGGCGACGAUUCAGGAGAGGCAGAAAGUUGAGGAGCCGUGCGUUGCCUACUCGCUCUCUCGUGCCGCGCCUCCUUUUGUAACCCACCCACGAACGCAUCCAUCAUCAGCCGCUCGGCAAGAGCGAAAACAAGAGCUCACCACACGGCCCCCUCCCCCUCCCUCCUCUCUUUCUUUGUUCGUUGGUUUCCCUGUUUUCUCUCCGCGCCCGCGCAAGUAGCGACGGGGACACCCAACACGCAGACACAUGCGCGCCGGCGUGCGGGUGCGCAGUCCUCCUUUUCAUUCGAUCUUCUGCUGCCCGCUUUGGCGCGUGCGUGCGCAUGGUUGUGGCGUACGCCCUGCCAGACUCCCCUCUCGCCUCCUCCUCCGCCACAGGGCCCCUCUUUCUUUUUUCGCUCCGUGGCUCACUUGUAGCCUUUAGAUUCACAAGGGCUGCCGCUCACGGCCGCACCGCACUGCACCCCUGCCUCCAUCCCUCCGCCACCCCAGGAAGACGAAGAUGGCGAUGACAGAGGCGAAUCAGGAUUGCGUGCAGUGGGUGGAGCGGCGCCUACAGGACACCCUUGGAUGUACCAUAGCCAGCGAGCUCAUAGAUCACCACUACUUUCUGAUCAAUGAGUUCCUCAUGGGCGAAGACGCGCAGUACCGUGUGCUGUUCGCUUACUACGCCGAACCCGCCGUGACGGCUGCUCACCAGCGGCGCUCAGCUGCGGGCCGUCGCGCCUUCAACAACGGCAGCAGUGCCAGAAAUUCCAAGCUGAGUUCCCGGCGGCAGACGAAAGGCAGCGGCAUAGGUCUCAACCGCAGCCACCCCGACAGCGAUGAUGAAGACUGUGUUGACGGCACUGCCGCGUCCUCGUACUUUGCUUUCGCCGGCGCCGACGGUAGCCGAGCCUCGAAUGGAAGCGACUGGGGCGUUUCUAGCGGACCGCAGCCCCCGCAGUUGCAGAUCGUCCCUGGCCUUCCUGAGCUCUCCCUCCGCGGCAACUUGACCGGUGCUAGCACGGACGUGCUUUACUUUGUGCGCCUCGACGCUGAAAAGCCUUUGCUGCGCGAGACGCUGGAGAACUACGUCAUGUGGGGCACGUUCCGAGGUAACUACCUACUGGACAGCUUCCUGCGCACCGUGCGCCAGACGAUUCUGCCGACGUUCUUGCACAACCAGUGGCCGACGAGCAUCAAGAAGGAUGUGCACACGGCGCUUCACCGCUUCAUGGCAACUGUGGUCGAGGACGUGAACAGCUUGAAGGGGCAAACAGUGCUCUACGUGCCAGGUGACCUGGCCGCUGGCGCCAAGAGCGACACGUACGCAGACCACGAACUCGUGCAGCGCUACGAGGCCACGGUGAUCCACUGGACACGGCAGAUCAAGGCUGUCGUCAGCCAGCGCGACACAGCCAGCACCGACGACGAAGGCCAUGCCGGCCCGCUGGAGGAGAUUCAGUACUGGCGGGCGCGGGCGCGAGACUUGGGCAGCAUUCGCUUGCAGCUGAACCGUGACGAUGUGGCGGCUGUCGUGAAGGUGCUGAAGGACGCGAAGUCUUUCUAUUAUCUCGAACCCUUUCUCGGCCUUCGCACCGACAUUGAGCGCGGAACCGAGGAGGCGUACGACAACCUGCGCUACCUGUGCACGCUCAUCGAGCCGUGUGAGCGUCUUGCCAAGGCGGAGCUGCGCGACAUCCCGCACUUGGUGCAGGACGUUCUCAAGAAUGUGCAGCUGAUUUUGAUCUUCUCCAAGUUCUAUAAGAAGGAGCACAUCACACGGCUGCUGCGCAUGGUAUCGAGCGAGAUCAUCGGUAGGUGCAGCAGCCGCAUCAACGUGCGUGCCAUCUUCGCCGGCGACGUCGCAGAAAGCAUGAAAGCGCUGGAGGAGAGUAUGGUUGCUGGUGAGGCGUGGCUGACGGAGUGCCGUCGCAUGCUGGUCGCUACCCGGCGCCGCUUUCGCGUUGAGAAAGGCGAGAAGCUGGAGCUUGACGAGUCGUUCCUGAACGAGAUGGACGGAUUCGUGCGCCACCGGUGCCAAAACCUCCGAGAAAUCUGCCUCAGCCAGCUCCAGUUCGGCUUCACUGGCACGGCUGAUGGCGAGGCCGGCGGGAACGGGGCGGUGUCCAUGUCGGUUGCGCGCUGCAGCAACGUCGUCGCCUCCCAUCGCCGCAUGAGCCGCCGAACCAAGUUGUCGGGGCUUGUGCGGGAACAGCUUCCUGCCGGUUCCCCGCUCAGCGUACCGGAGCUGGACGGCGUGAUACGGCCGCCGGCCAGCCUCUUCGAAGGCAAGCUACCCAUCUUUCGUGGUAAUAAGGGCCCUGAGCUGGAGUCGCAGCUGAUGGACAUCCAGCGUGCCUUCAAGGCUAAAAUGGAGGUGCUACGUCACUUCACGUACAACGUGCUCGAUGUCAAGGCGACACAAUGGGUGGACGACUACCGCGCCCUCAAGACAGACAUCGACAACUUCGCGGUAAUGAUGCGUCAGAUCAUCACUGCCGCCUUUGACGCGGUGACGACGGUGCCGAUGGGGUCCGAGGUGAUCGAGGCCUUCACCCUCAUCAGCAAAAGUGAGGAGCUCCUCAUGCAGCUCGACCGCAACACCGACCGCGUCUUCCGUCUCUUCACGCAGCACAUCAAGUCUGUGCGGGCUGACGUGCAGCGAUACUUUGGUCGCGUGCCACCUCUCUUCUACCGCCACCCGCCGCUCUCUGGUCAGGCGGCGUGGGCUGCCAACCGCUUGAGCUUUAUCACGUGCGCACACGACGCGCUGCGCCGCUGCUACGCCUUGCCGAGCUCCCCUGAGAAGGAUGAGGCCAUGCACCUGUACGACCGACUCGACCGCACGCUGCGCGAGAUGGUGCGCAAGGAGUACGUCCAGUGGACGUCCGAGGUGCCAGCAAAGCCGGCGGAGCUGCUGGAUGUCUACCUUCUCGUGCAGCGACCUGGUACCGGCAUAGACCUCGAGCAUCCGCCACUCUACGACGUGAACUUCCCGAUUAACCUGCUGCUGCUCUUUGCUGAGGCGCACAACUGGCAGCGGAUGGGGGAGACGGUGCCGCCGGAGGUUGCGGAGAUGUGCACCCGCGAGGAGCGGCUGCGCUUCUACCGCGAAAACGUGUCGAUGGCGGUGCGCCUGCACAACGCCUCAGUGCGCUCGCUGAGCAACGCGGAUCUGCGCCUGUUUUCGCUGCGCAUCGAGGCGAUGGAUGCCAAGUACGUACCAGGGCUCAACAAGCUGUGCUGGAACUCGCAGGGCAUUGUAGAGUACUUUGUGCGCGAGUGCCGCGUCCAGGCGGACCGCGUACAGGCUAUCGUCGAUGACUUCAAGUUCUGCGGCACCUUCAUCGACUACCACUGCGGCCUCAUCGCUGACACGCUCUCCGUGCUGGUGGAGAAGAAGGUGAUCUACACCCCUGACGCGUUCGUCGAAAAGCAGAAUGCCUAUCGAGCUGCCGUGGUACAGAAGGUGAGGAAGAUACACGAGCUCAUGGUGCAGAAACUGUACACUGUCUUCCAGUACUUCCGAGAGGACUACAUGGUGAGCGAGACGGUGCGCGCCGAGUGGCACGAUUACAUGGAGCGGGUGGACGUCAAAGUGGAGGAGGCUCUGCGGAUGAUGGUGAAGCGGUCGUUGCUGACGGUGGAGCGGGUGCUGCCGCAGGAAAGUAGCGAGGAUCGACUGGACGAACGCGUGUUCCGACUGAGCGUCAUGAUUAGCGUGGCGGCGGAUCAGAAGCCGGUCAUCCACGCCACGCCAUCAGUGCAGGAGCUGUCGCAGCUCGUGAACGACGUCUGCAAGGCAAUCAUUGGCGUCGUUCGAGGCUUGCCACGGCUGGAGGAGUCGCUGCAGCAGCGCGUCUCCAGCGAGACGGAGGCGUUGCUGACCGAGAACAACACGGUGGCCGUCACCUACGCCCACCCCGGCGGCGCCACGUCGCUGGCGCUGCGCGGCUCCUACUACGAGUACAUGACGAGGGACCAGGACACGAUUCUAACCCUGGGCCGCAUUCAGGAAGCCUUCAUGAGCAUCUCCGAGAAGGUGCGCGAUAAGCUGAACCAGACCUGGCAGCUGCACCAAUCCUCCACGACGGACAAUCUGUGGACGACGCAGCGGCAGGAUCGACGUAUCAAGCAGGGCUGGAAGCUCGAGGACUACCGCAUCAACAUGGACCACGUGGCCCAACGCCGCGAGGGUAUCGAGAAGCAGGAGGUGUUCUCCGACGUGCUCUUCUUGCAGCUGGACUUCACGAAGAUGAAGGAGACGUUCCGGGCACAGUGCCAGUUUGUGAUUCAGCACUACCACGGCCUACUGUACGCCGAGGUGAAGCAGGAGCUCGACAACACGUACGAUUCCUUCAAGUUCACGACGGAGGCCCUCUCUCGCGAGCCCAAGACGCUUGACCAGCUGGGCGAGAUGAUGCGGCAGUGCACCGUCGCCCUCGACGCGCUGCCGUCGGUGGAGGGCCAGUUCGACAUGCUCUCGCAGAAGUUCGCCCUCAUUACGAGCGAGGCGUACAACUUUGGCGGCGUCGAUCCUUCGGAUGUCACGCGGUGCGAGGAACUGCCGGAGGCGUUCGUGAAGUACACGCAGCAGCUGCAGGCGAUCCGCCAGCAGCUCGACGUAUACAAGGAGCAGUUUCGUGUGGAAGUGGAGACAGAGCUGCGCACGCUGGCCUCGAAGAGCUUUGCGCUGUACCAGCAGGUGCGCGACGAGGCGCCGACGUCGUGGGCGCUGACCACCGCGGCAGCCUUUGGCCAGCUGGAGACGCUGGAGCGGAAGGCGGUGUCGCUCCGCGAACUGGAAAAGAGCCUGCAGCAGGGCAUCGAAAUCUUCGCGCUGGAGAAGCCGCCGCUGGACGACUUGGUAAAGGCGGAGGCGCAGCUGAAGGUACUGCGCCGGCUGUGGACGCUGGUGAGGAGCUGGCGCGCUUUUACGCACGCGUGGAAGCACAUGUACUUUAUGAAGCUGAACAGCGAGCGCAUGCUGGAGGACAUCGAGGACACCCGGCGUGAGGCUCUGCAGCUGCGCAAGGAGAUGGAGCAGAUGGACGUGUGGCUGCGGCUGAAGGACGACAUUGACCUCAUCAAGAAGAUCCUGCCAAUCAUCGACGACUUGCGCACGCCAGCUAUCCGCCCCCGUCACUGGGAGCAGCUCAAGGUGCAGCUGGAUACGGCUUUUGAGCUGGAGGAUGAGACGUCGUUCUGCCUGCAGCGGCUGAUGGAGGCGCAUGUGGAGGUGCAGGCGGAGUUCAUCAGCAACAUGGCCAUCGCCGCCCGCGAGGAGCUGAAGAUCGAGACAGACCUCGAGAAAAUCGCGCUUGUCUGGGAGGAGACGUGCUUCACGAUUGAGCCACACCAGGGCUACCACAAGAUCGCCGCCGUCGAGGACAUCAACACAGCCCUGACGGAGCACCUCAUGAUGCUGAGCUCGAUGAAGAUGUCCCGCUUCGUCGACAGCUUCCGCCCGCGUGUGGUGAUGUGGGAGAAGCACUUGUCGCAGGUGGCGGACACGAUCGAAGGGCUACUCUCGGUACAGACCAAGUGGAUGUACCUCGAGAGCAUCUUCAUUGGCAGUGAGGACAUCAAGCGCAAGCUCGUGGCCGAGUCGAAGAAGUUUGACUCCAUUCACGCGCAUUGGCUCUCCAUCAUCGCCCGCCUUGUCAGCGACGCGAACGUGGUCCGCAGCACGCGCCGCGACAACUUGCUGGAGCAGCUGAACAGCAUGAACUCUGACCUCGAGCUGAUCCAGCGCAGCCUGGAGGGAUUUCUGGAGGACCGCCGCCGCUGCUUCCCGCGCUUUUACUUUCUCUCCAACGACGACCUGCUGGAGAUCCUCGGGCACACCAAGGACCCAGAGAAGGUGCAGCCGCACCUGCGCAAGUGCUUCGAGGGGCUCUACCGGCUGGCGCUGAAGGAGGGUCGCAACAACCGCAUCUUUGCCGGGGGCAUGUCAGCCGUCGAUGGUGAGGUGGUGCCGUUCAGCCCGCCGCUGCAGGUGGACGGCCUGCCUGUGGAGGUUUGGCUGCACCGCGUCGAGGUCAAGAUGCGCGAUACGAUAAAGUCGUGCCUGAACACAACUCUGAAAGACCUGCAGGACAACGUUUACAUCCCGCGGCGGCCCAUCAACCGCGACAAGCUUCGACAGUGGGUGGAGCAGCAUGAAGGGCAGGCGCUCAUCACGGCUGCAUGCAUGAACUGGACCUUCCAGACCGAGGUCGCCAUCGCGGAGUACGGCGACCUGCACCAAAACGGCCUCAGCCUCUCCCGCCGAAAGCCCUCACCGCUCUACAAGGUGUACAAGAAGUGGAAGAGUCUCAUCCGAAAAUACUGCCAGAUGGUACGCCAGCCGCAGUCGCGGCUGCAGCGCAACAAGCUCGUGGCGCUUGUCACCAUCGAGGUGCACUCUCGCGACAUCCUGCGCCACCUCCUUGCCCACCGCGUGCACUUGCUGGAGGACUUUGAGUGGACACGGCAGCUGCGCUUCUACCAGGAGAACGCAGGGUUGACCAGUGAAGUCGCGAGCGAAGCGGGCAUGAGCGACGCCAGCGCCGUCAUCACUGCAGGCUCCGGCGAGCCAACGUGCGUGGUACGUCAGACCAGCGCGGUGGUGCGGUACGACUACGAGUACCUUGGCAACAGCGGCCGUCUCGUAGUGACGGGGCUGACCGAUCGUGCCUACAUGACGCUGACAACGGCCCUGCAGCUGUUCCGUGGUGGACUGCCGCAGGGCCCGGCCGGCACGGGCAAGACGGAGACGGUGAAGGACUUGGGCAAGGCGAUUGGCAAGUACGUGAUGGUCUUCAACUGCUCCGACGGCCUCGACUACCGCUCUGUCGGCCGCAUGCUGAGCGGCAUUGCUCAAACUGGCGCGUGGUCCUGCUUCGAUGAGUUCAACCGUAUCGAGGUGGAGGUGCUCUCGGUCGUAGCGCAGCAGAUCAUGUCCAUCUUGUCGGCCGUGUCAGAGCAGAAACGCCACUUCCUCUUCGAAGGAACGGAGAUCCCGCUGAACGUGAACUGUGGCCUCUUCGUCACCAUGAACCCCGGCUACGCCGGCCGCUCUGAACUGCCGGACAACCUCAAGGCACUGCUCCGGCCCAUUUCGAUGAUGGUGCCGGACUUUACGCUCAUCUGCGAGAUCACGCUGCUAUCGGAGGGCUUCGAGGAGUCGGAGUCGUUGUCGAAGAAGGUGUCCAUCCUCUAUGAGCUGAUGGAAAAGCAGCUGUCGAAGCAGGACCACUACGACUUCUCCCUACGCAACAUCAAGGCGGUGCUGGUGCAGGCCGGUAACUUGAAGCGCGAGAACUUCCCGGGUACGGAGCAGCAGCUCUGCCUCAAGGCCAUGAAGGACAUGAACUUGCCCAAGUUUGUGAAGGAGGACGUGCCGCUGUUUCUCAGCAUGCUCGGCGACUUGUUUCCGGGUGUGUCGCCUCAAGGGGCUGGGCUGGAAGAGCUGCGGGCGGCGACAGUCGAUGAGUUGGAGGCGGAGAAGCUGCAGGUAAGCGAGCACAUCAUCACGAAGUGUUUGCACCUUUGGGACACCCUGCACACCCGCCACGGCGUGAUGGUGGUCGGCCGCACCGCAUCUGGCAAGACGAUCACCUGGAGAACGCUAGCGGGGGCGCUGCGGCGACUGAAGGAGGCCGGCGUGGACGGCCCGUACGAGGCGGUGCGCGUCUCGCUGCUGAACCCCAAGUCGGUGACGCUGGACGAGCUGUACGGCAGCUACAACCAAGCGACGCGCGAGUGGAAGGACGGCAUCCUGUCGGAUCUCAUGCGCCAGAUCUGCCGCGACGCGACGGACCCCAACUACAAGUGGCUGCUAUUUGACGGCCCCGUUGACACGCUAUGGAUUGAGAGCAUGAACACCGUGCUGGACGACAACAGGAUGCUGACGCUGAACUCCGGCGAGCGUAUCAACAUGAACCCGACCGUGCGUAUGCUGUUCGAGGUGCAGGACCUGUCUCAGGCGUCGCCGGCCACGGUGUCCCGGUGCGGCAUGGUGUACUUCAGCGUCGAGGAUCUCACCUGGAGGCCGUUCGUGAGCACGUGGCUGCAGUCGCGCCGCGACUUCGAGGUGGCCAUGAACGCACCCAAGCCAGACAGUACCAUCAGCGAGCUGCAGACGUUCGUAGAUGAGGCGCUGACUCGUGCAUUGCAGUUCAAGCGCAGCGAGUGCGCUGACCUGAUCCCGACGACGGAGUUCAACACGAUUCGCUCCUUUACCACGAUGCUGGACGCGUUGGCGAAUACCGAGGCGGCCCCGGUGAUGCCCGGUGGCACGCACUACCAGGCAGCGCAGGCGGGCGAGAAUUACUUGCCGCAGCUCCGCAUGAUGGCGAUGUUCUGCCUCAUCUGGGCCGUGGGCGGCAGCCUGACAGUCGACUCCCGCCGCAAGCUCGAUGCCUUUGUGCGAGAGAUGGACUCCUCCUUCCCUUCGAUGGAGACCGUCUUCGAGUACUUCCCGGACCUGUCGUCGCUGCGCUGGGUCGGGUGGGAGGAACACCCGGACGUGCAGAAGCCGUUCGCGCCGCCGUCGGACACGCCGUACUACGAACAGAUCGUUCCCACGGUGGAUAUGAUUCGAUACUCGUACAUUGUCUCGCAACUCGUGCUCAGCAGCGUCCAGCUGGUGCUCGUCGGCACCACCGGCACAGGCAAGUCGCUCAUUGCGAACCAGGUGCUGCACGAUCUCCCUGCCGACAUGUACGUCGCGACGCACCUUCACUUCUCUGCUCAGACGACGGCGAAGAACGUACAGGACAUCAUCGAGGGCCGUAUGGAGCACACCUCGAAGAAGGUGUGCAACCCGCCCGGCGGGCGCCGCAUGGUGUGCUUGAUCGAAGACCUGAACAUGCCAUCCAAGGAGAUCUUCGGCGCGCAGCCGCCGCUCGAGCUGCUGCGGCAGUGGAUGGACAACGGCUACUGGUACGACCGCACGACGCGCUCCAAGCGGCUCGUGAAUGACAUGCAGCUGCUGUGCUGCAUGACGUAUGGCCGCCCCGACAUCACGGAGCGGCUGCUGAGCAAGCUGAACGUGUUCAACGUGGCGUUCCCAUCGGAGCCCGUGGUGGUGAGGAUCUACUCUGCCAUCCUGGGCCACCGCUUUGCCCCCUACAUCGACCUCAAGGGCUACGUGGACGCGAUCGUGCGCGCCACCAUCGAGGUGUACAUGAAGGUCUCUACCGAUCUCCUGCCCAUUCCAAGCAAGUCGCACUACCUCUUCACUCUUCGCGACCUCAGCAAGGUGUUCCAGGGUAUCUACGGCUGCUACCUGGAAGGAAUCACGAGUAAGGAGCACCUCGUGGCGUUGUGGGUGCACGAGUCGCAGCGCGUCUUCUCGGACCGGAUGAACGAUCCGGCCGACAAGGUGUGGUUCCGGCAGCUGCUCAAUGACAAGCUGAACAACGUGUUCCAAACAAAGUGGGCAAACAUGCUCAAGGCGCGCGGGAAGGAUUCGCGAGGUCAGGCCUUGUCGGAGAGCGAGAGCCCGAUCUUCGUCGAUUUCCUAGACGGAGAACAGGACGAGAUGGCAAAAUACAAGCUGGUGCCGUCGAUGGAGCAGCUGCGGCAGAUCGUGGAGGAGGGGCUUGAGAACUACAACACCGAGCCUGGCGCGCGGCCGAUGAACCUCGUCUUCUUCGCAGACGCGCUCGAGCAUCUGUGCCGCAUUCACCGCGUGCUGCGCCAGCCGCAGGGCAAUGCGCUGCUGGUGGGUCUCGGCGGCAGCGGCCGCAACUCGCUGAGCCGACUCGCCACGUACCUCGCCGGGUACUCGAUGUUCACCAUCGAGAUUCACAAGAAGUACGACCAGGAGCGCUUCCACGAGGAUCUGCGCACUCUCUACAAGGCGUGCGGUGUGAAGCGGCAGCAGAAGGUGUUCUACAUCGCCGACACGCAGCUCGUCGACUCGUCGUUCCUCGAGGACCUUAACAACAUGCUCUCCGCCGGAGAGGUGCCCAAUUUGUUCGCCAAGGACGACUUGCAGCAGAUCAACGACGACGUGCACAAGCUGGCUCUUCUGAGCGGGUGCCGCGAUUCGCCUGAUGAGCUGUACAACUUUUUUGUCCGUCAAGCCCGUCAGCAUCUCCACCUCGUCAUCGCCAUGUCUCCUGCCCACAAGCUCUUCCGCGUGCGCCUGCGUCAGUUCCCAGCGUUGGUGUCGUGCACGUCGAUCGACUGGUACUACGCAUGGCCGAACACGGCGCUCAAGGAGGUGGGUCUGCGCUACCUGCGUGACUCGCGCGACGAUUCCGCGGAGUCGGACGAGCUGCUGGAGACGAUCAGCGAUCUCUUCGUCUUUCUUCACGACACGACGAACCAGAGGGCGGAGCAGAUGCGGGUGCAGAUCCGCCGCCACACGUACGUGACGCCGUCCUCGUUUAUUGACCUCGUCCGCGGCUUCCGCUCGAUGCUGCACAGCAAGCGUAUCGACAUUAUUGAGCAGCGCGACAAGCUCGCCAACGGUAUGUCGAAGCUGGAGGAGACGAAGGUGACGGUGAGCGAGAUGCGCGAGGCUCUCAAGGUGCAGGACGAACGGCUGCAGGCCAAGUCGGCCGAAGUGAGCAGGGCUACGGAGAGCAUCCAAGCGCGGCAGCACAUCGCCGAGGAGCAGCAGACUCUCGUGGCGUCAGAGAAGGUGAAGAUCGAGCAGACAAAGCGGGCCGCCUUGGCGGACCAGGCCGAGGCGCAGGCCGAUCUCGACCGAGCCAUGCCCACCCUGCUGGAGGCUCAGGCGGCGCUGGACAAGCUGGACAAGAGCGACAUCAACGAGGUGAAGUCUUACAAGACGCCUGCUGUGAUGAUUCGCACGGUGAUGGAGGCGGUGCAGACCGCACUGCACCGCAAGCUCGACUGGGACGAGGCGAAGAAGUCGCUGAGCGAACCCAAGUUCAUUGACAUGCUCAAGACGUAUCACGAGACACACGACAUGACGGAUCAGAAGCUGCUCAACGCGCUGGAGAAGUACGUGAAGCGCAACGACUUUACGCCGGCGGCGGCGAGCGCCGUGUCAAAGGCGGCGGGUGGGCUGUGCCAGUGGGUGAUUGCGAUCCACAAGUACGGCAACAUCUACAAGGAGGUGCAUCCGAAGAUUGUGAAGAACGAGAACGCGCAGCAGAAGGUGCGGGCGCAGGAGGAGAUGCUGCGCCAGAAGGAGGAGAAGCUGCAGAGGAUCGUGGACGAGGUGCGCCAGCUCGAGGCGGACCUGCAGGCGAACAUUGCCGAAAAGAACCGCCUCAUGGCCGAGGCGCGUGCGACGCAGGACAAGCUGAACAAGGCCCAGAUCAUCGUCGACGGUCUUGAGGGCGAGCGAGGGCGGUGGACCGAGUCGAUUGCACGCUUCGAGUUAGACUUGGAGAACAUCAACGGCGAGACACUCCUUGCGUGCGCAUUCAUGUGCUACUGCGGGGCCUUCACAGCCGAGUACCGGCAGUUGCUGUGGCAGAGCUGGAUGAAGGAGGUGCGGCGGGUGCAGCUGCCGCUGAACCGAGACUACGACUUCGUCAACUUCCUCGCUGACCCGACGGAGGUGCUUGACUGGCAGCAGGCCGGGCUUCCGGGGGACGAGUUCAGCAGGGAGAACGGCGCCGUGGUCGUCUUCGGUCCUCGCUAUCCUCUCAUGAUUGACCCGCAGCAGCAGGCCAUCAAGUGGGUGAAGCGGAUGGAGCGCGACAACGGUCUCAAGGUCAUUGACCCGAAGCAGCCGGACUUCCAGAAGACCGUCGAGUACGCGAUUCAGUUCGGCUGCCCGCUGCUGCUGCAGGACGUGCUGGAGGAGAUCGACCCCCUGCUCGACCCCAUCAUGUCGCGCUCCUUCAUCAUGAAGGGCAAGCGCAAGCUCGUGAAGGUCGGCGACAACUACGUCGAGUUCAAGGAGGGCUUCAAACUAUACAUUACCACCCGACUGCCGAACCCGCACUACACCCCGGAGACGUGCACGAAGGUGUGCCUGCUGAACUUUGCGGUCAAGGAGCAGGGGCUGGAGGAGCAGCUGCUGAAGAUUGUGGUGGAAAAGGAGAAGCCGGAGCUGGAACACGAGAACGAGCAGCUCAUCCUCCACACCGCUGCGGCCAAGAAAGAAAUGAAGCAGCUGGAGGAGGACAUCCUCGACCUGCUUUCCACCUCCCAGGUGUCGCUCCUCGAGAACCAGCGGCUCAUCGAGACGCUGCAGACGGCCAAGGUGACGGCGGCGAACAUCCAGAACCAGCUGCAGGUGGCAGAGACAACAUCUGUGAAGAUUCGCGAGGCCCGCGAGGAGUACCGUGAGUGCGCACGGCGUGCCUCGUUGCUGUUCUUUGUCCUUGCGGACCUCGGCGCCAUCGACAGCAUGUACCAGUUUGCCCUAGACUCCUACAUUCAGCUGUUCCAGACGAGUAUACGGCGCUCGUCGGAGAAGAUCGUGUCUCACGAAAUGGAGGAGCGCAUCAAGACGCUGAACGAGUGGCACACGGCCGCCGUGUACACGAACACGUGUCGCGGCUUGUUUGAGCGCCACAAGCUGCUCUUCGCCUUUCACAUGACGAUGCGCAUCCUGCAGAUGCAGGGGUUGGUGAACAUCGAGGAGUACGUCUUCAUGAUGCGCGGGGCGCAGAUGCUGGACAAACAGAGCCGCUUGCCAAACCCCGCAAGCGCGUGGCUCUCCGAGCGUGCGUGGGACCACGUUUUGGAGCUGGAGCGGCUGAGCGCCUUCCACGGCAUCGCCGCUCACUUUGAGCAGAAGCCCGAUGAGUGGCGCGCGUGGUACCUCCUGGAGCGACCCGAGGAGGCCCUGCUGCCGGAGGAGUGGGAGGCGCGGUGCGGUGGCAAUGCGCUGCAGCGCAUGAUCUUCACGCGCUGCCUGCGCCCUGACCGACUCGUCUUUAUGGUUUACGAGUUCAUUGAGGAGCAGCUCGGCAGCCAAUUCGUGGACCCGCCUGUGUUCAAUCUCAAGGACACUUUCGAUGAGAGCACCAACACAAUUCCGCUCAUCUUUGUGCUCUCUAACGGCGUGGACCCGACGAAGCAGCUGCAGUCGCUGGCGCAGCGCGAGGGUCGUGAGCUGAAGGUGCUAGCGCUGGGGCAGGGCCAGGGUGACAACGCCAAGCGCGCCCUGCAAGAGUACAGCCAAACGGGCGGGUGGGUCUUCCUCGCCAAUUGCCACCUAAUGGUGUCAUGGCUGGUGGAGCUGGAGAAGAUCAUCGACGCAAUCUUUGAACAGAAUCCGCAUCGCGACUUCAGGCUCUGGCUGAGCUCCGUGCCGACGCCGCAGUUCCCGAUUGGCGUGCUGCAGCGCUCCAUCAAGAUGACAACGGAGCCGCCGAAGGGGAUCAAGGCGAACAUGCUGCGCCUGUACAACACGUUCAGUGAGGAUGACCUGGCGAUCCGCAGCGCUGAACACCCCCUCAUCUACCGCAAUCUUCUCUACGCGCUGUGCUUCUUCCAUAGCGUGCUGCUGGAGCGGCGCAAAUACGGCACUCUCGGCUACAACGUCCUCUACGACUUUACGUCCUCCGACUUUGACGUCUCGGAGAACAUCAUCCAGCUGUAUAUUGGUCACAUGCACUCCGAUGCCGUCGAGGACGUUCCGUUCGUCACCAUCCGCUACCUCAUCGCAGAGGCCUCGUACGGCGGCCGCGUCACGGACGACUGGGACCGGCGCGUGCUGAACACGUACAUGGCACAGUACAUGUGCCCAGACGCCAUCACGCAGAGUCGCUACCCCCUCGCGGCGGCUGACGAAUACUGCAUCCCGGAAGACUGCAACACGCUGCUGGCGUACAAGAAUCACUGCGGCCAGCUUCCCAUCACCGACCCGCCGGAGGCCUUUGGGCAGCACGCGAACGCCGACAUCGCCAGUCGAAUCGCAGAGUCAACGGCGUUGCUAGACUGCCUUAUCAGCGUGAACACCUCGUUGGUGCGCGACGGCGGCGGAAGCAGCAGCGGCAGCGCGCAGGCGGUCACGCAGGAAGAUCGCUGUCUCGAGAUCCUGGCCUCCAUCGAGGAGCCGAGCAAGGCCGCCACACCGAACCUGCUUGACUAUACCGCCAUCUACGAUUCAACCGAGGGAGACCGCGACAACGCCCUCAACACAUGCCUCCUACAGGAGGUGCAGCGCUACAACGCGCUCUUGAAGACGAUUCACCGGCAGAAGGCGGAACUGCGCCGCGCCGUGAAGGGCGAGAUCGUCAUGUCGGAGCAGCUGGAGGCCAUUUUUAACGCGCUGCUGCUCGGCCGCGUGCCGCCGCCGUGGACGAGCGCCUACCCGAGUCUGAAGCCACUGGCGAGCUGGGCGGUGGACCUCGUUGAGCGCGUGGAUCAGAUGCGGCUGUGGAGUCAGCGCACGCCGACGGUGUUCUGGCUCUCAGGCUUUACAUACCCCACCGGCUUUCUCAAGAGCCUGCAGCAGCAGCAGGCGCGCCGGGACCAGAUCUCGAUCGACCAGUACGACUGGGAGUACGCCAUCCUGCCGAGCGAGGAGCGCGCCAUCGCCCAUCGGCCAAAGAAGGGCGCGUACGUGCGCGGAAUCUUUCUCGAGGGCGCCGGGUGGAACGGGGAGGCGAACACGCUCUGUGAGCCGAAGCCGAUGGAGCUGAUUGUGUCGAUGCCGGUGAUCCACUUCAAGCCGAAGCUCCGCUCGGGCAAGGCAAAGUCGGCGAGUGUGUACGAGUGUCCCUUGUACAUGUACCCGAUCCGCACCGGCACCCGUGAACGUCCCUCCUACGUUGUUGCGGUGGACCUGGAGUCGGGCGACGCGGUGCCAGAGACGUACACGAAGCGUGGUACGGCGCUGCUGCUCUCCACAGACGAGUAGCGAGAUGGACUGCGUGCCCGUUUCUACUUAAGUUUUUUGUUUUGUUUUGUGGGGCUGAUGUGGUGGACGCCGUCGAUGCAUGGCUGUCGGUGUGCAGGCGCCCAUCCAUGUGCGCAUAGGCGGUUGCCUGUCUCCAGGCUGUGUAUGCGUGAGCUAGCAGCCGCUUUUCUUCUCCGCAUAGACGGCAAUCUAUUAGUGCGAGAAGACAGCGCUGCUGACCGCGCGCCAUCUUUUUUAUCGCUCUCAUCGCUGGCAGUGUGCAUGUUGCGGGGUGAAGCCACCGGCAAGGAGGCGACGGAAGGGUGAGGGGAGGCCGUCGGCGUAGCACCAGUGCGUGUGUUGGCGUUCACUCUCCUUCUCUCGGCUUUCUCUUCGUGCCUGUGGCCUCAUCGACUUCCUCUUUUUGCUUUUUGACAUUGCCGCUGUGUGGGUAUGCGCGCCUGGCCUGGUGUCUCUCGGGCAUGGGUGCGUGCCUGCUGCAUAUGUGUGGCGCGUGGUGUCUGUGCUCUGUGUAGCGAAAGGAGGCGUGUGCCUCCUCAGCUCUGAGCACCUCUCUUGCCUCUCUUGCCCGGACGGAGGAAGGUGAUGCGCACAGACACCAGCGACCCCGAGCGAGCGAGAGGCGCUUUCAUCAUAGAGGAACCGAUUCGAUGGUCUUGCCGUGAUCACUUCGAUGUACAGAUCCCUCCUUCAUGUUAUUCUCCUUGCCGCGUGGACGCCCCACGUGCGCCUUCUCCGGUAUGUACACGAAAUACAGGCGUGCGCGUGAGUCCGCACGCCUCGCUCGUCUUUCUCGGUCUCCAUGCUGAUCCUCCCUUGAAACGAAAAAAAAAACUCCUUCAAGGCCAAGCUCAGCGUGCUUGUGUGCGUGUGGGAUCUGUGUGUGUGGGGGGGGGGAGGCUCCGAGCACGCGCGCCUCGAGCUCGCAUAGAUGUCCGUCAGAGGUGUCUUCAGUGA
rnacentral:misc_RNA from 1 species